rnacentral:rRNA from 1 species
AGAGUGAACGCUGGCGGUAGGCCUAACACAUGCAAGUCGAACGGCAGCACAGUAGGAGCUUGCUCUUACGGGUGGCGAGUGGCGGACGGGUGAGGAAUACAUCGGAAUCUACCUUUUGGUGGGGGAUAACGUAGGGAAACUUACGCUAAUACCGCAUACGCCCUUCGGGGGAAAGCCGGGGACCAGCAAUGGCCUGGCGCUGAUAGAUGAGCCGAUGUCGGAUUAGCUAGUUGGUGAGGUAAUGGCUCACCAAGGCGACGAUCCGUAGCUGGUCUGAGAGGAUGAUCAGCCACACUGGAACUGAGACACGGUCCAGACUCUACGGGAGGCAGCAGUGGGGAAUAGUUGGACAAUGGCGCAAGCCUGGAUCCGAGCCUAGUACCCGCGUGGGUACGAAGUAAGGCCUUACGGGUUGUAAA